GGGACACGUGGUAUCCUGUCUGAAUAUGGGGGGACCAUCCUCCAAGGCUAAAUACUCCUGACUGACCGAUAGUGAACCAGUACCGUGAGGGAAAGGCGAAAAGAACCCCGGCGAGGGGAGUGAAAAAGAACCUGAAACCGUGUACGUACAAGCAGUGGGAGCCUCUUAAUGGGGUGACUGCGUACCUUUUGUAUAAUGGGUCAGCGACUUAUAUUCUGUAGCAAGGUUAACCGAAUAGGGGAGCCGAAGGGAAACCGAGUCUUAACUGGGCGUUAAGUUGCAGGGUAUAGACCCGAAACCCGGUGAUCUAGCCAUGGGCAGGUUGAAGGUUGGGUAACACUAACUGGAGGACCGAACCGACUAAUGUUGAAAAAUUAGCGGAUGACUUGUGGCUGGGGGUGAAAGGCCAAUCAAACCGGGAGAUAGCUGGUUCUCCCCGAAAGCUAUUUAGGUAGCGCCUCGUGAAUUCAUCUCCGGGGGUAGAGCACUGUUUCGGCAAGGGGGUCAUCCCGACUUACCAACCCGAUGCAAACUGCGAAUACCGGAGAAUGUUAUCACGGGAGACACACGGCGGGUGCUAACGUCCGUCGUGAAGAGGGAAACAACCCAGACCGCCAGCUAAGGUCCCAAAGUCAUGGUUAAGUGGGAAACGAUGUGGGAAGGCCCAGACAGCCAGGAUGUUGGCUUAGAAGCAGCCAUCAUUUAAAGAAAGCGUAAUAGCUCACUGGUCGAGUCGGCCUGCGCGGAAGAUGUAACGGGGCUAAACCAUGCACCGAAGCUGCGGCAGCGACGCUUAUGCGUUGUUGGGU
rnacentral:rRNA from 1 species